CACUUGAAAGAUUUGACAUUGAGACGAGUGGCGAACUGGUGAGUAACACGUGGGUAACCUGCCCUUGAAGUAUGGGAUAACACUUGGAAACAGGUGCUAAUACCGUAUAACAACCAAAACCACCUGGUUUUGGUUUAAAAGACGGCUUCGGCUGUCACUUUAGGAUGGACCCGCGGCGUAUUAGCUUGUUGGUAAGGUAACGGCCUACCAAGGCAAUGAUACGUAGCCGACCUGAGAGGGUAAUCGGCCACAU
rnacentral:rRNA from 1 species